rnacentral:SRP_RNA from 1 species
GGAAGAUCGGCGGUGGACGAGCGCCUCGCCAACCCGGUCAGGUCCGGAAGGAAGCAGCCGUAACGAGUUUUGCUCGGGUCGUUGUCCGGUCUUCCACU